UACGUAGGGGGCAAGCGUUAUCCGGAUCUACUGGGUGUAAAGGGAGCGUAGACGGCAUGGCAAGUCAGAUGUGAAAGCCCGGGGCUCAACCCCGGGACUGCAUUUGAAACUGUCAGGCUGGAGUGCAGGAGAGGUAAGUGGAAUUCCUAGUGUAGCGGUGAAAUGCGUAGAUAUUAGGAGGAACACCAGUGGCGAAGGCGGCUUACUGGACUGUAACUGACGUUGAGGCUCGAAAGCGUGGGGAGCAAACAGG
rnacentral:rRNA from 1 species